rnacentral:rRNA from 1 species
AUGAAGGGAGCUUGCUCCCUGAUUUAGCGGCGGACGGGUGAGUAAUGCCUAGGAAUCUGCCUGGUAGUGGGGGAUAACGUUCCGAAAGGAACGCUAAUACCGCAUACGUCCUACGGGAGAAAGCAGGGGACCUUCGGGCCUUGCGCUAUCAGAUGAGCCUAGGUCGGAUUAGCUAGUUGGUGAGGUAAUGGCUCACCAAGGCGACGAUCCGUAACUGGUCUGAGAGGAUGAUCAGUCACACUGGAACUGAGACACGGUCCAGACUCCUACGGGAGGCAGCAGUGGGGAAUAUUGGACAAUGGGCGAAAGCCUGAUCCAGCCAUGCCGCGUGUGUGAAGAAGGUCUUCGGAUUGUAAAGCACUUUAAGUUGGGAGGAAGGGCAGUAAGCUAAUACCUUGCUGUUUUGACGUUACCGACAGAAUAAGCACCGGCUAACUUCGUGCCAGCAGCCGCGGUAAUACGAAGGGUGCAAGCGUUAAUCGGAAUUACUGGGCGUAAAGCGCGCGUAGGUGGUUCGUUAAGUUGGAUGUGAAAGCCCCGGGCUCAACCUGGGAACUGCAUCCAAAACUG